rnacentral:rRNA from 1 species
CCUACGGGUGGCAGCAGUGAGGAAUAUUGGUCAAUGGACGCAAGUCUGAACCAGCCAUGCCGCGUGCAGGAAGACGGCUCUAUGAGUUGUAAACUGCUUUUGUACGAGGGUAAACGCAGAUACGUGUAUCUGUCUGAAAGUAUCGUACGAAUAAGGAUCGGCUAACUCCGUGCCAGCAGCCGCGGUAAUACGGAGGAUUCAAGCGUUAUCCGGAUUUAUUGGGUUUAAAGGGUGCGUAGGCGGUCGGAUAAGUUAGUGGUGAAAUCCCGAGGCUCAACUUCGGAAUUGCAUCUGAUACUGGUAGGCUAGAGAGUAGUUGAGGUAGGCGGAAUGUAUGGUGUAGCGGUGAAAUGCUUAGAGAUCAUACAGAACACCGAUUGCGAAGGCAGCUUACCAAGCUACUUCUGACGUUGAGGCACGAAAGCGUGGGGAGCAAACAGGAUUAGAUACCCCUGUAGUC